GUCAGGAUGGCCGAGCGGUCUAAGGCGCUGAGUUCAGGUCGCAGUCCGGUCUUCCGGGCGUGGGUUCGAAUCCCACUUCUGGCU
rnacentral:tRNA from 1 species